rnacentral:rRNA from 1 species
AGCGAACGCUGGCGGCAGGCCUAACACAUGCAAGUCGAACGGACCCUUCGGGGUUAGUGGCGGACGGGUGAGUAACACGUGGGAACGUGCCUUUAGGUUCGGAAUAGCUCCUGGAAACGGGUGGUAAUGCCGAAUGUGCCCUUCGGGGGAAAGAUUUAUCGCCUUUAGAGCGGCCCGUGUCUGAUUAGCUAGUUGGUGAGGUAACGGCUCACCAAGGCGACGAUCAGUAGCUGGUCUGAGAGGAUGACCAGCCACACUGGGACUGAGACACGGCCCAGACUCCUACGGGAGGCAGCAGCGGGGAAUCUUGCGCAAUGGGCGAAAGCCUGACGCAGCCAUGCCGCGUGAAUGAUGAAGGUCUUAGGAUUGUAAAAUUCUUUCACCGGGGACGAUAAUGACGGUACCCGGAGAAGAAGCCCCGGCUAACUUCGUGCCAGCAGCCGCCGUAAGAC